rnacentral:sRNA from 1 species
UCAGAACCAGCGUGGGUCGAGGAUGGCCU